UUAUCUGAAUUUACUAUUAGUCGUACUAUAUUUAGAAACUUUACCUUUAGGAAGGUUGAUUUAUAGUAUCCUGAUCGAAUUUCGAUCUUGUAGGAUAUUGGAUUUAUAGUUGUCUUCUCUUUUUUUUUUCUUCAUGAUUGGUCAUAUUUACCUAGCAUACUUUUCAUCAAUGAUUGAGAAAAUUUAAGGUUCUUUUCUAUAUGAUAGAGUAGAGAGGUCAGAUACUCUCAUAUUGGAGCCAGUCUGUAGCAAUAAUAGGGUUGAUCAAAUGGUUUCUAUUAUGUCUAGUUCAUUUAUAAUGCUUCUUAGAUUGUUUACUCUUUCAUGUGUGGUGGUUUAUGGGUCCAUACCACAUUUUCGUUGUGCCACUCUAAAUAAUGUU
rnacentral:lncRNA from 1 species